rnacentral:rRNA from 1 species
UACGUAGGUGGCAAGCGUUGUCCGGAUUUACUGGGCGUAAAGGAUGCGUAGGCGGAUAACUAAGUCAGAUGUGAAAUUCCUAGGCUUAACCAAGGAACUGCAUUUGAAACUGGCUAUCUAGGGUGCGGGAGAGGUAAGUGGAAUUCCUAGUGUAGCGGUGAAAUGCGUAGAGAUUAGGAAGAACACCAGUGGCGAAGGCGACUUACUGGACCGUAACUGACGCUGAGGCAUGAAAGCGUGGGGAG